UGGGGAAUUUUGGACAAUGGGCGAAAGCCUGAUCCAGCAAUGCCGCGUGUGUGAAGAAGGCCUUCGGGUUGUAAAGCACUUUUGUCCGGAAAGAAAUCCUUGGCUCUAAUACAGUCGGGGGAUGACGGUACCGGAAGAAUAAGCACCGGCUAACUACGUGCCAGCAGCCGCGGUAAUACGUAGGGUGCAAGCGUUAAUCGGAAUUACUGGGCGUAAAGCGUGCGCAGGCGGUUUGCUAAGACCGAUGUGAAAUCCCCGGCGUCAACCUGGAACUGCAUUGGUGACUGGCAGGCUAGAGUAUGGCAGAGGGGGUAGAAUUCCACGUGUAGCAGUGAAAUGCGUAGAGAUGUGGAGGAAUACCGAUGGCGAAGGCAGCCCCCUGGCAAGUACUGACGCUCAUGCACGAAAGCGUGGGGAGCAAACNGGAUUAAUNCCCUGGUAGUCCACGCCCUAAANGAUGUCAACUAGUUGUUGGGGAUUCAUUUCCUUAGUAACGUAGCUAACGCGUGAGUUGACCGCCUGGGGAGUACGGUCGCAAGAUUAAAACUCAAAGAAUUGACGGGGUCAGCUGUUUCCU
rnacentral:rRNA from 1 species